UGGGGUAUAAUUAAUAAUUGGGGUUAAUUAAUAAAAGAAAUUUUAAUAUUUGAAAAUAUUUAAUGGGGGUUAAAGUAUUUUUAAUAGAAAAAAUUUGAAAUUUUAUAGUAAAUUAGUAUUGUGAAAGAAUUUUGAAAUAAUUAUUUAAAUAUAAAUUAAUUUAUAAGUAAAUUUAAUUUAUUGUAUCUUGUGUAUCAGAGUUUAUUAAAAAAUUUUUUUUUAUUAAUAUUUCUCGAAUUUAAAAGAGUUAAUUAAUUAGUAAAUUUAUUGUUUCAUAAAUAUUUUAAAUAAUUAAUUAGAAAUGAAAUGUUAUUCGUUUUUAAAUAUAUCUAGUUAUUUUAGAAAAAAAUUUAAUUUUUAAUUUAAUUUUAAAAUUAAUUAAUUAAUUAAUUAAUUUUAAAAUUAAAUUUAAUAUUUUAAGGGAUAAGCUUUAAUUUAAAAUUUUAUAAUAAAUUAUUAAUAUUUGAAAAUUUUAUAAUUUAUAUUGUUAAUAAAUUUUAAUUUAUUAUAAAUAAUUUCAAUAAAAUUGAAAAUUUAAUUAAAAAUUUAAUUUUUUAUAAAAAAAUUUUUUUUAAUAUAAUAAAAUUAGUUAUAAUGAUAAAAUUAGUAUAUAAAUAAUUAAAUUUGAUUGUUAAUUUUAAAAAAGUUGUUUUAAAGGAAUUCGACAAAAAGUUAUAUUCACCUGUUUAUCAAAAACAUGUCUUUUUGGUUAAUAAUUUAAAGUCUAAUCUGCCCACUGAUUUAAUAAUUAAAGGGCUGCAGUAUAUUGACUGUACAAAGGUAGCAUAAUCAUUAGUCUCUUAAUUGGUGACUUGUAUGAAAGAUUGGAUGAAAUAUAAAUUGUCUCUAAAAUAUUUAUUAGAAAUUAAUUUUUUAAUUAAAAAGUUAAAAUAAAUUAAAAAGACGAGAAGACCCUAUAGAGUUUUAUAAUUAUUAAUUUUUAGUUUUUUAAUAAAUAGUUUAUUCUAAAUAUUAUUAAUUAUUUUAUUGGGGUGAUAGAAAAAUAAAUAUAACUUUUUUUUUAAUAAAACAUAAAUAAAUGAUUAAAUGAUCCAAAUUUUUUGAUUAUAAGAAAAAAUUACCUUAGGGAUAACAGCGUAAUUUUUUUUUUUAGUUCGUAUAAGAAAAAAAGUUUGCGACCUCGAUGUUGGAUUAAGAUAAAAUUUAAAUGCAGAAGUUUAAAAUUUUGAUCUGUUCGAUCAUUAAAAUCUUACAUGAUCUGAGUUCAAACCGGUGUAAGCCAGGUUGGUUUCUAUCUUUUAAAUAAUUUUAUAUUUUAGUACGAAAGGAUUAAAUAUAAUAAUUAAAUUAAGUUAAAUUGAAUUUUAUUAAAUAAAAUAAUAAAUUUA
rnacentral:rRNA from 1 species